CAGCCGCCGCGGUAAUACGGAGGGUGCAAGCGUUAUCCGGAUUUAUUGGGUUUAAAGGGUCCGUAGGCGGAUCUGUAAGUCAGUGGUGAAAUCUCACAGCUUAACUGUGAAACUGCCAUUGAUACUGCAGGUCUUGAGUAAAUUUGAAGUGGCUGGAAUAAGUAGUGUAGCGGUGAAAUGCAUAGAUAUUACUUAGAACACCAAUUGCGAAGGCAGGUCACUAAGAUUUAACUGACGCUGAUGGACGAAAGCGUGGGGAGCGAACAGGAUUAGAUACCCCCGUAGUCCCUGUCUCUUAUAA
rnacentral:rRNA from 1 species